AUUACCGGCAGGUGGAGGGCCAUGGCUUUAUUUACCACUUUAAUGGUCUCCACUCUCCAAAUCACCAAUACAUGGUAUCCCCUAUUUUUAUCCCCAAUACAUGGUAAGCAUAACUUGAGAAGACUCAUUUGCCCUUCCUUCCCACCCUAAAAGAUCUCUCACCUGAUAAGAGGAAAAGAGAACCCACACCAGAAAAAACAUGGCGUUAAUUCCUUAAUUCCUUGCCCUCCAUCAAAUAAUUCUCAUCUCCAGAACACUCACUCCCUCUCUCUCUCUCUCUUAAAGGUUACCUGAAAUUGAAGAGUUCGGAGUUGAUGGCUACCUAAGUCGUAGAGUUUUUCGAAAUCGAAUCAUGGAGUUCAUUGUCUGUCCACAAAUCGAAUCACGAUAUACCUGAAUCUCAUGUUUUAAGGUCAAAGAACGGAGGUGGAUCCAAAUGUGGAGCAUGAAGAGGCACCUGGUUCAAAUGGAAUGGAUGGUUUUGUGUCUGAUCUGCCAUUGAUGAGAUUCUGAGCUUUGUUGAAAUGCUUAAGUAAGCUUCAUGUUGGAUGUUAAUAUAUGACACGGUAGUUAUAUAAACAUACAAUAUCUUGAUUCUUGAGUCACGAGCAUUUGAUUGAUAUUGUACGUUGGAUUGCGAUGGGAAAUGCUAGCUCAACCAAUUUGUACUCCACAAGCUAAGUUAAAUGAUUCACUUUAUUUAGUGAUAACGUAUUAAACAAUUCUGUGUCCAAAGGAAGAGAAAAUAUAAUGUGAAUGGCAGAAAAUAUAACGUAUCAAAGUUUUGGUUCUGUGAGCCUGUUGGUGUAUCCGCUUGAAUGUGUAAUUUUACUCAUUUAGUCUGAAUGUGUAACUAUCAUACUCUUCUUUUAUGGGGUUUUCAUUUUCUUGUAGUUCAUCUGCUAAUUAAAAUCUCUUUAUGUUCUAUAGUAGAGGGCUUUGCUUCUUGCUCUUCAUAAGCUAAAGGUAUUGGAAGAGCAACAGAAGUAUGCUAUUGAUUCAUUUGAACCUCUUAUGGCUUUUGCUCUCAGUUAUGGACUGUAUUCAUUACCUGCGGUAAUCAUACAUAUUUUUCGCUUAGUUAUGUGUUCGAGGUUGUCUUUCUUUUGCGUUUUGUAAAAGGUUAUUAAGUGAACCUCUUAUGUAAUUAGAAGUCUGGCUAGCCAAAGCUGGGAAUGCUUGGCGCGAAGCAAAUACUUCUGCCGAUUUUCUUGCUCGAGAGGCCAUAUAUGGGCAAAGGCCUUUGGUGGUGGUCCUUCGUCAACCCUCUCUUCAAUUUGGAGAACAUUGCCUAUGACGGAUGUAAAAGGACUUGGCUACCAGGGUCAUCUCUAUACGGAUCCACAUGCAUUGAACAACUCUAAACUCAAUGUUUUACAAUUGUGCUCUUAGGUGGUUUUACACACAUUGGGUACAAAGUUCUCUUAAUCUUGUUGUGGGUUUAAUAUUGUGGUUUUGAGAUGUUGGGUACAAAGUUUGUGCAAAGAGACUUUUUAGGAUUGAUUUGUAGGUUUAAGAUAUUGAGUACAAAGUUCACUAUAGUACCAUUUUUUUUUAUAUAGGUGUACUACAUUAUUGGAAGUAAUCCAAUUGAACUACUGUUGUCUAACUUUGGAUUUUGUUAAAUGUAAGGGACUUAUUCUU